rnacentral:rRNA from 1 species
ACGGGUGAGUAACGCGUGGGAAUCUACCCAUCUCUACGGAAUAACGCAUGGAAACGUGUGCUAAUACCGUAUACGUCCUUCGGGAGAAAGAUUUAUCGGAGAUGGAUGAGCCCGCGUUGGAUUAGCUAGUUGGUGGGGUAAAGGCCUACCAAGGCGACGAUCCAUAGCUGGUCUGAGAGGAUGAUCAGCCACACUGGGACUGAGACACGGCCCAGACUCCUACGGGAGGCAGCAGUGGGGAAUAUUGGACAAUGGGCGCAAGCCUGAUCCGGCCAUGCCGCGUGAGUGAUGAAGGCCCUAGGGUUGUAAAGCUCCUUCACCGGUGAAGAUAAUGACGGUAACCGGAGAAGAAGCCCCGGCUAACUUCGUGCCAGCAGCCGCGGUAAUACGAAGGGGGCUAGCGUUGUUCGGAUUUACUGGGCGUAAAGCGCACGUAGGCGGACUAUUAAGUCAGGGGUGAAAUCCCGGGGCUCAACCCCGGAACUGCCUUUGAUACUGGUAGUCUUGAGUUCGAGAGAGGUGAGUGGAAUUCCGAGUGUAGAGGUGAAAUUCGUAGA